AUGGACAAGUCUUGCACACGAUGCAAGGAUUACGUCGCACAUCAAUAUUGGGACCACAUGGAUAAUCGGAAAAAGCGUUUCUUUAAGCUUAUGCUUGGCAAUUUCAGGAAUGGAGUGACCAUACCAGAGAAGUUUGUGCGCAGUGUUGGAGGAAUGAUCUCUGAACUAGUCAAACUAGAAACCCCAGAUGGUAAUACAUAUAAUGUUCAUAUUGCCAAGGAACUGAAUAAUCUAGUCCUUCGAUCUGGAUGGUCAAAAUUUGCCAGUGUUUAUGAGCUUCAAGAGGGUGACCUUUUGAGGUUCAAAUACAAUGGGGACUCCCACUUCAAAGUUGAGAUCUAUGAUCCAAGUGCUUGCGAGAAAGAGAUAUACUGCGUUGUAAUGAACCACAAUCCAGGUCUCCAAAAACGGAGCGUUCCUCAUGAUAAUCAAAUGUUAUCACCGGAGGGUGAAAGGCUAGCAAAGCGUCAGAAUGGUUGCUGCAGCGACGGUUGCAAAACUUCAGAGAUGAAUCCAGCAGGCUCUCCACACAAACCAACUAAAAAGGAAGUCCCAUCUUCUGAAGAUGCCAGGAGUUCGGGUGAACGUAAGACUUUCACCAGGUCUCACUAUUUCUUGGCAACAGGGUGCAACCUGACUGAUGCACAUAAGGUGGAAGUCGACAAAAUUGAACAAAAUAUCAGGCCCGAGAUUCCACUAUAUGUCAAAACCAUGUCCAGUGCCAGUCUGGUUGAUGGAUUUCUGGUCAUAUCUCAUAUGCAAAGAUGA
rnacentral:rRNA from 1 species